rnacentral:piRNA from 1 species
GAUGUCGGCUCUUCCUA